rnacentral:rRNA from 1 species
UACGGAGGGUGCAAGCGUUAUCCGGAUUCACUGGGUUUAAAGGGAGCGUAGGCGGGUUUCUAAGUCAGGUGUUUAAUCCCGGGGCCCAACCCCGGACAGGCACUUGAAACUGGGAAUCUUGAAUAGUGGAGAGGUCAGUGGAAUUGGGGGUGUAGCGGUGGAAUGCGUAGAGAUCCCCAAGAACACCAGUUGCGAAGGCGGCUGACUGGACACAUAUUGACGCUGAGGCUCGAAAGCAUGGGGAGCAAACAGG